rnacentral:rRNA from 1 species
AGAAUGAACGCUGGCGGCGUGGUUAAGACAUGCAAGUCGAACGGUUUUUCUGAUGUAGCAAUACGUUUGAAAGACAGUGGCGAACGGGUGCGUAACACGUGAACAAUCUACCUUUAAAUGGGGAAUAGCUCGUCGAAAGGCGAAUUAAUACCGCAUAUGGUUGGCUUUUUUCCUGAAAGUCAUACCAAAGUCAGGGACCGUAAGGCCUGACGUUUACAGAGGAGUUCGCGGCCUAGUCAGCUAGUUGGCGAGGUAACGGCUCACCAAGGCUAAGCGGGUAGCUGGUCUGGAGAGGAUGAUCAGCCCUACACUGGAACUGAGACACGGGUCCAAGGACCACCGUACGGGUGGCAGCAGUUUCGAAUCAUUCACAAUGGGGACAAAGCC